AUGCAGUGGUGAAUAUUCCAGUAAUUGUUUUUGGAGGGAGAUUUCUCACCUGCUUGUCCGGUUUGUCACAGUCACGGGAAGUCAUGCGUUAUCAAGUACUUCUGUGUUCUCCAUAUUAGCUUCUAGUGCCACAAGAGGGGUGUGUACCUGCUGCCCCACCCCACAAGAGUUAGUGUGCCUGACUCUUGGCUAUCAUGUGCCAGAUGUUUUGUGCUAACCCCCCCAAAAAGGUUUUCUCUGUUAAAUCUGAAAAUGCAUUUUUUUUUAUCCUACAGGGAAAUUGUUAAAGUAGUGUUCAGUAACUUCAAAUGAAUAAAAUGGACCGUCACAUUGAUCUAUUUUAAAACUACUUUUUCAAACAUAUGAAGUAUUUGACUUUUCCCAGUGGGUUCCCAUGUACUUCAAAGACCCUGCUGUAGUUUGCUAGUUCUCUGUGUUAAUAGAAUCUUCCAUGUAAGAGUUCCAGAUCAAAGGCAAGGAGUAAGUAUACCAUUGUGUAAGAUUGGGUCAGAACUUGGGUCAGUUACCUAUCGUGUUACACAACAGAGUCAACAAAAGCACAAACAUUAUCCCUCUCUGUAUGAUAGAAAAUAGACACAUAAGUCUUUAUCAAUUUUUUCUGAGAGUUUAUAAGUUCUUGACACCAAUAAGUUGUUUUCUGUGAUUUCAGUAUUACAGGUUACACAGAUUUUGUCUUGUAACAAAAUUUUGCUGUACAAAGGAGGAAUGUUUUGUGCGAAUGAUGUAGAGUUUAGUUGUAAGGUUUCCAGUUCUCUGAAUGGCUUUAUUAAAAGAUCUCUGAACUUGGGACACACAUGGGUAUUUCCCCUCUCUCAGCCCUCUUCUGUAGUCCAGCUGCCUCAGUAAUUACUCUUGACUGUUGUCUCAGGUGGGUCUCCUGUGAUCAAGAGACACUUAAGCAUGGUUGGGGCCAGGUGUGCACCUUUCUCUAUGCUGUGAGCCUUCCCCUAAACUUGUUGCCAUUUGAAUUUUAGCAAAAUAAAAUGUCUCAAGUUGACUCAUGCCUUUGUGAAGCUUGUCUUUGAUAAUAAGUGGAACUGAGUCUAUAUUAUCAUCUUGGCACAACAGCAGCAACCGGCCAGCUCUUGGAAUCUCUCGUGCUUUCCUCCUAAGAAAAUAAGAGGUGGUUUGCAGGUUCCUUCAUUGACUCAGUGAGUUACAUCAGUCAUCCUGGGAAAGAGAAUUAUAAUUGAAAAGAAUGACACUAUUGCUUAAUCUCCCUCCAGCCCACUCUCCUGUCUGACACCAAAUCAAAAACUCAACUGAAACAAAAGAAAAAAGGUAAUGGCGACUUCCCUUCACAAACUCCAGCUGAACCUUCCUUGGAGGAAAAUUGCCCCUAAGAGCCCGGGAGGUGGCUCAAUAUGGUGACGUAGGAUGAUCUUGAACUCACCUCCUCCCAUGAACACACCAAAUCUACAGCUACAUAUGGAACAGUUCCCUCCGAAAAAGACCUGAAAACUAGUUGAGCAACUUCUUCACAUCAGGCAACAAGGAAAAGGCCAAAGUGAAGUGGGUAGCAGAGGCUGAGACACGGUCUCUACCCCAGCAAGGCAACCCACAAUCACAAUGUAACUCACAAACCCGGAGCAUCUCUCUGAGGACCAGCAGGUGAUACCUUGUGUCAGGCACCCUAACUUUUAAUUCCUGCACCCAACAGAUGAGCCCCCAACACAUCUGGCUUAGAAAACCAUGAGCCCUAAAGAGCUGUAGUGAAAUGAGAAAUGGCUCAAAGAGCUAGUGUGCAGACUCUCUUGCCCCAGGGUGCAGCACAGAAGCAGCCAUUAGAAAUGCACCCAGACUUUAAGAAAUGAAGAUCUUUCCUAUAAUCUUAAAGCUUCAGCUGGAGGGGCAGGGACCUGCUGGGACACUCUUCUGCUUGUGGGUGACAUAUUUGCACUCUCUGUCUGCCUUGUAAAGCUGGCGGGUGCCAUCUUCACACUCUCCCUCUGCCACGCUUCAGAGCACCAGCAUUUCCUGGACGGGAGUUUUUGCACACAUCUGGUGCCUUUGCUCUUGUGGCUGCCAGCAAGGGGACACCCCUUGAUUGCUGGGCUCAGUAGGCCAGUAUUGCUUCCAUUCCUGAGUUGCACGGGACUCUAACAAUCAGACCAUCCUUGGCAGACGACCAUCCCCAGGACACUGUACACAUAGCAAAGGGAAAGAUCCUCCCAGUUGCUCAGAGAAAGAAGCCUAUUUGCAAGCUUUGGCCUUCUGGGCCACCUUCUGCUCCGGCACACUUAGAAUAAUGUGUGGGAGAGUUCUCAGGGAACAGAGUCCAGUGGAUACGGUCUUUGCACUCUCUGCCUCACUAGAGCGCAUAAAUAUCUCCCUAGGAAGGUGCUUCUAUCCUUGUUUGACACCCUUGAUUUUUUUGUAGCUGCUUUUGGUGGAUAAGGUGCUACUUGUGUUUCUGGGUCCCACACAUUUCUGUAGUCCCAGGCUACAACACACGUAGUCUGUGAAAGAGAACUAUUUGUCCUGGAGCUGCAGGCCUACAUGACAAGCUUUCAGUUUGGCAUACAUCUACAAGCUUAGAGACGUGCUCUGAGGAAGUGAGUACAGCAGUGUGUCAUCUUUGUGCUGUCCCUCCACCUCCCUACAGCUCCCUGGCAUCUCCUAGAAAGGAGUUCACACACUUACCUGGAGCCCCAAUUUUAGUCACUGUCUCCCAGGGGAUAUUCUCUAGAUAACCUUGUUCUAGUGGCUAGAGGGGCUUAUGUGCAAUCCUAUAGAAAUUAUAGAUAUAUAUUUGCAUUCUUUAUUUAUAUUUACAUAAAUUUAUAAAUAUAC